rnacentral:rRNA from 1 species
UGGGGAAUAUUGGACAAUGGGCGAAAGCCUGAUCCAGCCAUGCCGCUUGUGUGAAGAAGGUCUUCGGAUUGUAAAGCACUUUAAGUUGGGAGGAAGGGCAGUAAGCGAAUACCUUGCUGUUUUGACGUUACCGACAGAAUAAGCACCGGCUAACUCUGUGCCAGCAGCCGCGGUAAUACAGAGGGUGCAAGCGUUAAUCGGAAUUACUGGGCGUAAAGCGCGCGUAGGUGGUUCGUUAAGUUGAAUGUGAAAGCCCCGGGCUCAACCUGGGAACGGCAUCCAAAACUGGCGAGCUAGAGUAGGGCAGAGGGUGGUGGAAUUUCCUGUGUAGCGGUGAGAUGCGUAGAUGUAGGAAGGAACACCAGUGGCGAAGGCGACCACCUGGGCUCAUACUGACACUGAGGUGCGAAAGCGUGGGGAGCAAACAGG